CAAGCGUUGUUCGGAAUUACUGGGCGUAAAGGGUUCGUAGGUGGCCAACUCAGUCAGACGUGAAAUCCCUCAGCUCAACUGGGGAACUGCGUCUGAUACUAGAUGGCUCGAGUGCAGGAGAGGAACGCGGAAUUCCAGGUGUAGCGGUGAAAUGCGUAGAUAUCUGGAGGAACACCGGUGGCGAAGGCGGCGUUCUGGACUGCAACUGACACUGAGGAACGAAAGCCAGGGGAGCAAACGGG
rnacentral:rRNA from 1 species